rnacentral:rRNA from 1 species
AUGAGAUGUGUAACCUCUGUUCGUUAUGCUGUCCGAGUUAACGAAGAACUCACUAAUGCUGUGAUUCCUACAAGGGGCAUUCGGCAGGGAGACCCAAUCAGCCCUUACCUGUUCCUUCUAUGCAUCGAAGGCUUGUCCAGUGUGCUUUUGCACAAGGAGUCGCGUGGUGAGCUACAAGGUAUUCGAAAUGGUCGUCAAGGCCCUCCUAUCUCGCACCUCCUUUUUGCCGACGAUAGCAUCUUCUUUGCUAGAAGUGAUCAGCGUAGUGUCCUCUCCCUGAAGGAGGCUUUGCAUUUAUAUUGUGAUGGUUCAGGCCAGAAAGUUAACCUUCAAAAAUCAUCAAUCUUCUUUGGUACUCAUUGCUCCGACGAUACUAAGCAAAAGGUAAUGAGAAUUUUGGGGGUCACAAAUGAAUCAUUCCACGAUACAUAUCUUGGAAUGCCUACUCAUGUGGGAAGGUCGCCAGCCAAGACAUUCAAAUUCCUAAAUGACAAAGUUUGGCAGCGCAUCAUU